GCCCAGCCCUACGGUCUAAUAUGAAAUGUGUCCCUGCUGCUGGCUGCUCAUCUGCUCUUCCUCCUCUGGAACACAUCUGUGGUCGUGUCUGAGAUCAGAGGUCUCCUAACUCUCACCAAGAUGUCCUGUCAGCAGAACCAGCAGCAGUGCCAGCCUCCUCCUAAGUGUCCCCCUAAGAGUACCCCCAAGUGCCCAGCUCCAUGCCCGCCUCCAGUCUCUUCGUGCUGUAGCUCCAGCUCUGGGGGCUGCUGUAGCUCCGGAGGUGGCGGCUGCUGCCUGAGCCACGACAGGCCCCGCCGAUCUCUUCGUCGCCGACACCAGAGCUCUGGCUGCUGCAAUAGUGGCAGUGGGGGGCGUUGUACCUGUGGCAGUAACUGCACCUGCAGUAGUGAUUGCAACUGCUGCAACAGACAGAAGUCUGGGGGCUGCUGAUGGCCUGGCUGUAACGUAAGAAGCACAAAGGAGUAGCCCCGAAGAAUUAAAGGGCAAAGGAUAUAUUGUAUCCCAGACCUGUUACCCUCCUUCUCUCUCUUCACUCUUCCUUUAAGCCAAGCCACUUGAACAAGUAUGCGAUGUUUGCUUUCCUCAGGUCUUUUCCAAUGGCGUGUGUUUGAUCUGCCUUUUUUAGGAUUCAUAUCAAUGUGUAUUUUCUUCAGACUGUUGAAAAGAAUCCCAAAGCAUGUGAAGACUGAAAACAAUAAAUUUUCUUUCAAGUCA